CGACGGAUCCUGCAGCUGCUCGGCUGUCCUGGUCAAGUCGGUGACCCUAGGGCUCCGCUCCGUGCCCUGCAUACCGUAGGCGCUCACGAAACGUUCGUGAGUUCCCCGCUUUGAGGAGACAAGCUUAAAAACUCGGAAUAACCACACUGCACAAAGUGAACUUACCUGUUUUCAUCGCACUUUAUAUGCACGAAUUCUACCUCCACUCUCGACCUGGGACUCACUCAUGAGUAAGGAAGGACUGAAAGGCAAAAGGACUAUGGACUGGCCUUUUGGCAUAAUCAGGUGUUUAAUAUAAAGAAGUGCACGAAUAAGAAAAGAUAUGAUAUGUGUGAUGGUUAAUACUGAGCAUCAACUUGAUUGGAUUGUAGGAUGCAAAGUAUUGAUCCUGGGUGUGUCCGUGAGGGUGUUGCCAAAGGAGAUCGACAUUUGAGUCAGUGGGCUGGGAAAGGCAGAUCCACUGUUAAUCUAGAUGGUCACCAUCUAAUCAGAUACCAGCGCAGCUAGAAAUAUAAAGCAGGCAGAAAAAUGCGAAAAGAGUGACUGGCCUACCCUCCCAACCUCCCAGCCUACAUUUUCUUCCGUGCUGGAUGCUUCCUGCCCUGGAACAUUGGACUCCAAGUUCUUCAGUUUUGGGACUCGGACUGGCUCUCCUUGCUCCUCAGCUUGAAGACAGACUAUUGUGGGACCUUGUGAUCAUGAAGAAGACAAGAAAGUCUGCUUUUGCCAUUUUUAUUCAACAACGUACUACAGGUUCUACAAUCUACAGUUCAACAGUGUACUACAGGUUCUACAAUCUACAGUUCAACAAUGUACUACAGGUUCUACAAUCUACAGUUCAACAGUGUACUACAGGUUCUACAAUCUACAGUUCAACAACGUACUACAGAUUCUACAAUCUACAGUUCAACAAUGUACUACAGGUUCUAGCCAGGGAGAUUAGAGAAGAAAAAUCAAUGAAAAGCGUCCAGAUUGGAAAGGAAGUAGUAAAGCUCUAUCUAUUAAAGAUGACAUGAUCUUGUAUAUAAGAAAUCCACCAAAAAACAAAAACAAACCAAAAAACAGGUAGAGCUAAUUGUGAAAGGAAAAUAAAUCUUUGGAUCCCAAACUUACUAAGCCAAAGGGAAAAGUCAAGCCGGAAAGUGGGUCAUGCAAGCCUGCCUCCCAUUUUAUUUCCUAAAUAAGAUGGCUACACACAUGAAAAGCUACACACCUCCUCUGUGGGUGCAAGAUCUUUACCCUAAAGCGUUUCUGUUAAAGUUCACCAUGGCAAUGUAAAUUAACAGCUUAUCUUCACAGGUGCGAGGACAUAGGACAGAACUCAAAGCUAUCCCUCUGCCCACCUGAGACAAAUUCAUAUCUAAUUUUUUCCUCUGCCCUACCAUCUACGUUAUCUUAAGUAAAAACGUAUAUUCACAGAGCCAAAGACAUGAAUGACUCUUUUCCUCUAACCCUCUUUUACAUGAAAAUUGUGCAUUUCUCAAUAUCCCACCGUUUCCCCCUUAAACAUUGAAGCUCUCAAAGAUCAUCUCUCGAGAAAGGCAUAGACCUGUCUCUCAGGCACAUCCUUAACUUUGGCAAAUAAACCUCCUUAAAAUGAUUGAGACUUGUCUUGGUCAUUUACCUUGAUUGACAUAGUAUUGGGUCCAGCGAGGUUGCAGGAUACAAAAUCAACAUGCAAAUAUCAAUUUUAUUUCUGUACAUUAGCAAUGAAUAAACUAAAUGUGAAAUUAAGAAAACAGUUUCACCUGUUGUAUUAGUCCAUUCUCAUGCUACUAUUAAUAUAAAGAACUGCCCAAGACUGGGU